rnacentral:sRNA from 1 species
UGGUCUCAACAGGGUGGGCUCUACGCUU